GGGUCAGUAGGUUGGUCGUGCCACCGGUACGUACUGGUCUAACUGAUUCCUCCUUCCUGAAGAACCGUAAUGCCAUUAAUUUGGUGUUGCGGGGAAACAGGACUGCUACUUUGAAAAAAUUAGAGUGUUUAAAGCAAGCUAACGCUUGAAUACAUUAGCAUGGAAUAAUGAAAUAGGACGAUCGAUCCUAUUUUGUUGGUUUCUAGGAUUGACGUA
rnacentral:rRNA from 1 species